CAGCCGCCGCGGUAAAACCAGCACCUCAAGUGGUCAGGAUGAUUAUUGGGCCUAAAGCAUCCGUAGCUCGUUUUGUAAGUUUUCGGUUAAAUCCAUACGCUUAACGUAUGGGCUGCCGGGAAUACUGCAUAACUAGGAAGUGGGAGAGGUAGACGGUACUCGGUAGGAAGGGGUAAAAUCCUUUGAUCUAUUGAUGACCACCUGUGGCGAAGGCGGUCUACCAGAACACGUUCGACGGUGAGGGAUGAAAGCUGGGGGAGCAAACCGGAUUAGAUACCCGGGUAGUCCCAGCUGUAAACUAUGCAAACUCAGUGAUGCAUUGGCUUGUGGCCAAUGCAGUGCUGCAGGGAAGCCGUUAAGUUUGCCGCCUGGGAAGUACGUACGCAAGUAUGAAACUUAAAGGAAUUGGCGGGGGAGCAC
rnacentral:rRNA from 2 species